rnacentral:rRNA from 1 species
CUGUGAGCUCGAUGAGUAGGGCGGGACACGUGGUAUCCUGUCUGAAUAUGGGGGGACCAUCCUCCAAGGCUAAAUACUCCUGACUGACCGAUAGUGAACCAGUACCGUGAGGGAAAGGCGAAAAGAACCCCGGCGAGGGGAGUGAAAAAGAACCUGAAACCGUGUACGUACAAGCAGUGGGAGCCUCUUUAUGGGGUGACUGCGUACCUUUUGUAUAAUGGGUCAGCGACUUAUAUUCUGUAGCAAGGUUAACCGAAUAGGGGAGCCGAAGGGAAACCGAGUCUUAACUGGGCGUUAAGUUGCAGGGUAUAGACCCGAAACCCGGUGAUCUAGCCAUGGGCAGGUUGAAGGUUGGGUAACACUAACUGGAGGACCGAACCGACUAAUGUUGAAAAAUUAGCGGAUGACUUGUGGCUGGGGGUGAAAGGCCAAUCAAACCGGGAGAUAGCUGGUUCUCCCCGAAAGCUAUUUAGGUAGCGCCUCGUGAAUUCAUCUCCGGGGGUAGAGCACUGUUUCGGCAAGGGGGUCAUCCCGACUUACCAACCCGAUGCAAACUGCGAAUACCGGAGAAUGUUAUCACGGGAGACACACGGCGGGUGCUAACGUCCGUCGUGAAGAGGGAAACAACCCAGACCGCCAGCUAAGGUCCCAAAGUCAUGGUUAAGUGGGAAACGAUGUGGGAAGGCCCAGACAGCCAGGAUGUUGGCUUAGAAGCAGCCAUCAUUUAAAGAAAGCGUAAUAGCUCACUGGUCGAGUCGGCCUGCGCGGAAGAUGUAACGGGGCUAAACCAUGCACCGAAGCUGCGGCAGCGACGCUGAUGCGUUGUUGGGUAGGGGAGCGUUCUGUAAGCCUGUGAAGGUGUGCUGUGAGGCAUGCUGGAGGUAUCAGAAGUGCGAAUGCUGACAUAAGUAACGAUAAAGCGGGUGAAAAGCCCGCUCGCCGGAAGACCAAGGGUUCCUGUCCAACGUUAAUCGGGGCAGGGUGAGUCGACCCCUAAGGCGAGGCCGAAAGGCGUAGUCGAUGGGAAACAGGUUAAUAUUCCUGUACUUGGUGUUACUGCGAAGGGGGGACGGAGAAGGCUAUGUUGGCCGGGCGACGGUUGUCCCGGUUUAAGCGUGUAGGCUGGUUUUCCAGGCAAAUCCGGAAAAUCAAGGCUGAGGCGUGAUGACGAGGCACUACGGUGCUGAAGCAACAAAUGCCCUGCUUCCAGGAAAAGCCUCUAAGCAUCAGGUAACAUCAAAUCGUACCCCAAACCGACACAGGUGGUCAGGUAGAGAAUACCAAGGCGCUUGAGAGAACUCGGGUGAAGGAACUAGGCAAAAUGGUGCCGUAACUUCGGGAGAAGG